rnacentral:rRNA from 1 species
CCUACGGGUGGCAGCAGUGAGGAAUAUUGGUCAAUGGGCGCGAGCCUGAACCAGCAAAGUAGCGUGAAGGAUGAAUGCCCUACGGGUUGUAAACGUCUGUUAUAAAGGAAUAAAGUGAGGCACGUGUGCCUUUUUGUAUGUACCUUAUGAAUAAGGAUCGGCUAACUCCGUGCCAGCAGCCGCGGUAAGACGGAGGAUCCGAGCGUUAUCCGGCUUUAUUGGGUUUAAAGGGAGCGUAGAUGGGUUGUUAAGUCAGUUGUGAAAGUUUGCGGCUCAACCGUAAAAUUGCAAUUGAUACUGGCAGCCUUGAGUACAGUUGAGGUAGGCGGAAUUCGUUGUGUAGCGGUGAAAUGCUUAGAUAUCACGAAGAACUCCGAUUGCGAAGGCAGCCUACUAAACUGCCACUGACAUUGAUGCUCGAAAGUGUGGGUAUCAAACAGGAUUAGAUACCCGAGUAGUC